rnacentral:rRNA from 1 species
CCUACGGGAGGCAGCAGUGGGGAAUAUUGGGCAAUGGGCGCAAGCCUGACCCAGCAACGCCGCGUGAAGGAAGAAGGCCCUCGGGUUGUAAACUUCUUUUAUCAAGGACGAAACAAAUGACGGUACUUGAUGAAUAAGCCACGGCUAACUACGUGCCAGCAGCCGCGGUAAUACGUAGGUGGCAAGCGUUAUCCGGAUUUACUGGGUGUAAAGGGCGUGUAGGCGGGACUGCAAGUCAGAUGUGAAAACCAUGGGCUCAACCCAUGGCCUGCAUUUGAAACUGUAGUUCUUGAGUGUUGGAGAGGCAGGCGGAAUUCCGUGUGUAGCGGUGAAAUGCGUAGAUAUACGGAGGAACACCAGUGGCGAAGGCGGCCUGCUGGACAAUAACUGACGCUGAGGCGCGAAAGCGUGGGGAGCAAACAGGAUUAGAUACCCCAGUAGUC